rnacentral:rRNA from 1 species
AGAGCGAACGCUGGCGGCAGGCUUAACACAUGCAAGUCGAGCGGGCGUAGCAAUACGUCAGCGGCAGACGGGUGAGUAACGCGUGGGAACGUACCUUUGGUUCGGAACAACACAGGGAAACUUGUGCUAAUACCGGAUAAGCCCUUACGGGGAAAGAUUUAUCGCCAAAAGAUCGGCCCGCGUCUGAUUAGCUAGUUGGUGAGGUAACGGCUCACCAAGGCGACGAUCAGUAGCUGGUCUGAGAGGAUGAUCAGCCACAUUGGGACUGAGACACGGCCCAAACUCCUACGGGAGGCAGCAGUGGGGAAUAUUGGACAAUGGGCGCAAGCCUGAUCCAGCCAUGCCGCGUGAGUGAUGAAGGCCCUAGGGUUGUAAAGCUCUUUUGUGCGGGAAGAUAAUGACGGUACCGCGAAAGAAUAAGCCCGGCUAACUUCGCGCCAGCAGCCGC